rnacentral:rRNA from 1 species
UACGGAGGAUCCAAGCGUUAUCCGGAUUUAUUGGGUUUAAAGGGGUAGCGUAGGCUGGGCCUAAGUUAAGUCAGGGGGUGAAAGACGGUGGCUCAACCAUCGACAGUGCCCUUGAUACUGAUGGGCUUGAUUACACGUUGAGGUAGGCGGAAUGUGACAAGUAGCGGGUGAAAUGCAUAGAUAAUGUCACAGAACACCAAUUGCGGAAAGG